GUCCACAAAAAACUAUGGCAAUAUUGGACAAAGCUGGAAUUAAGCUCUCAAUUUAAGGCCACGUACAAAGAACAGCAUACAGAGAAGGCAGUUUAGCGCAGAUUUCACACACAGGUAAAGCAAAUCAGGAACAUAUUGCAGAUGAAAUAUCAAGUCAAUAUUUCAUAGAGUUUGAAUGUAGAGUAGCAGUUUUUGAGGUAGAUUGUUAGCGCUGCAUAACCACCCAUUGAGUGACCAGAGAUGGAUGCCGUUGCUGUAUCAGCUUGUGGAAAGUGUUCAGAAACCUGUAACAUCUUCGUUGAUUCCAUAAACCCGUAAUUUGUUUUUGGCUGUGUUUGCAUAUAAUAUGUUUUUUCGCUUUGCGUUGAAUGGACGAUGAAGCCUCUGAGUAUGUAUCUAUAUAUAAGCGUGGAAUUGAGAUACA